UACGUAGGGCGCAAGCGUUAUCCGGAAUUAUUGGGCGUAAAGAGCUCGUAGGCGGUUUGUCGCGUCUGCCGUGAAAGUCCGGGGCUCAACUCCGGAUCUGCGGUGGGUACGGGCAGACUAGAGUGAUGUAGGGGAGACUGGAAUUCCUGGUGUAGCGGUGAAAUGCGCAGAUAUCAGGAGGAACACCGAUGGCGAAGGCAGGUCUCUGGGCCAUUACUGACACUGAGAAGCGAAAGCAUGGGGAGCGAACAGG
rnacentral:rRNA from 1 species